rnacentral:rRNA from 1 species
UACAGAGGGUGCAAGCGUUGUUCGGAAUUAUUGGGCGUAAAGGGCGCGUAGGCGGUGUCGCAAGUCCGUGGUGAAAUCUCCAGGCUCAACUUGGAGUCUGCCGCGGAAACUGCGGUGCUAGAGUGUGGGAGAGGUGCGUGGAAUUCCCAGUGUAGCGGUGAAAUGCGUAGAUAUUGGGAGGAACACCAGUGGCGAAGGCGGCUCACUGGACCGGAACUGACGCUGAGGCGCGAAAGCGUGGGGAGCAAACGGG